rnacentral:rRNA from 1 species
AUUGAACGCUGGCGGCAUGCCUUACACAUGCAAGUCGAACGGCAGCAUGAUCUAGCUUGCUAGAUUGAUGGCGAGUGGCGAACGGGUGAGUAAUACAUCGGAACGUGCCCUGUAGUGGGGGAUAACUAGUCGAAAGAUUAGCUAAUACCGCAUACGACCUGAGGGUGAAAGUGGGGGACCGCAAGGCCUCAUGCUAUAGGAGCGGCCGAUGUCUGAUUAGCUAGUUGGUGAGGUAAAGGCUCACCAAGGCGACGAUCAGUAGCUGGUCUGAGAGGACGAUCAGCCACACUGGGACUGAGACACGGCCCAGACUCCUACGGGAGGCAGCAGUGGGGAAUUUUGGACAAUGGGCGAAAGCCUGAUCCAGCAAUGCCGCGUGUGUGAAGAAGGCCUUCGGGUUGUAAAGCACUUUUGUCCGGAAAGAAAUGGCUCUGGUUAAUACCUGGGGUCGAUGACGGUACCGGAAGAAUAAGGACCGGCUAGCUACGUG